rnacentral:rRNA from 1 species
UACCAGCACCCCGAGUGGUCGGGACGUUUAUUGGGCCUAAAGCAUCCGUAGCCGGUUCUACAAGUCUUCCGUUAAAUCCAACCGCUCAACGGUUGGGCUGCGGAGGAUACUACGUGGCUAGGAGGCGGGAGAGGCAAGCGGUACUCAGUGGGUAGGGGUAAAAUCCUUUGAUCCAUUGAAGACCACCAGUGGCGAAGGCGGCUUGCCAGAACGCGCUCGACGGUGAGGGAUGAAAGCUGGGGGAGCAAACCGG